rnacentral:rRNA from 1 species
CGCCUGGGGAGUACGGCCGCAAGGUUAAAACUCAAAUGAAUUGACGGGGGCCCGCACAAGCGGUGGAGCAUGUGGUUUAAUUCGACGCAACGCGAAGAACCUUACCUGGCCUCGACAUGCAGAGAACUUUCCAGAGAUGGAUUGGUGCCUUCGGGAACUCUGACACAGGUGCUGCAUGGCCGUCGUCAGCUCGUGUCGUGAGAUGUUGGGUUAAGUCCCGUAACGAGCGCAACCCCUAUCCCUAGUUGCUAGCAGUUCGGCUGAGAACUCUAGGGAGACUGCCGGUGACAAACCGGAGGAAGGUGGGGAUGACGUCAGGUCAUCAUGGCCCUUACGGCCAGGGCUACACACGUGCUACAAUGGUGCGCACAGAGGGCUGCAAACCCGCGAGGGGGAGCCAAUCUCACAAAACGCAUCGUAGUCCGGAUCGCAGUCUGCAACUCGACUGCGUGAAGUCGGAAUCGCUAGUAAUCGUGAAUCAGAAUGUCACGGUGAAUACGUUCCCGGGCCUUGUACACACCGCCCGUCACACCAUGGGAGUGGAUUGCACCAGAAGUGGUUAGUCUAACCUUCGGGAGGACGAUCACCACGGUGUGGUUCAUGACUGGGGGUGAAGUCGUAACAAGGUAACCGUA